GGCUACCAUGCAGUCGAGGGGCAGCAUUUCAGUUUGCUUGCAAACUGGAGAUGGCGACCGGCGCACGGGUGAGUAACACGUAUCCAACCUGCCGAUAACUCGGGGAUAGCCUUUCGAAAGAAAGAUUAAUACCCGAUGGNAUAAUCAGACCGCAUGGUCUUAUUAUUAAAGAAUUUCGGUUAUCGAUGGGGAUGCGUUCCAUUAGGCAGUUGGUGAGGUAACGGCUCACCAAACCUUCGAUGGAUAGGGGUUCUGAGAGGAAGGUCCCCCACAUUGGAACUGAGACACGGUCCAAACUCCUACGGGAGGCAGCAGUGAGGAAUAUUGGUCAAUGGGCGCAGGCCUGAACCAGCCAAGUAGCGUGAAGGAUGACUGCCCUAUGGGUUGUAAACUUCUUUUAUAUGGGAAUAAAGUUUUCCACGUGUGGAAUUUUGUAUGUACCAUAUGAAUAAGGAUCGGCUAACUCCGUGCCAGCAGCCGCGGUAAUACGGAGGAUCCGAGCGUUAUCCGGAUUUAUUGGGUUUAAAGGGAGCGUAGGUGGACAGUUAAGUCAGUUGUGAAAGUUUGCGGCUCAACCGUAAAAUUGCAGUUGAUACUGGCUGUCUUGAGUACAGUAGAGGUGGGCGGAAUUCGUGGUGUAGCGGUGAAAAUGCUUAGAUAUCACGAAGAACUCCGAUUGCGAAGGCAGCUCACUGGACUGCAACUGACACUGAUGCUCGAAAGUGUGGGUAUCAAACAGGAUUAGAUACCCUGGUAGUCCACACAGUAAACGAUGAAUACUCGCUGUUUGCGAUAUACAGUAAGCGGCCAAGCGAAAGCAUUAAGUAUUCCACCUGGGGAGUACGCCGGCAACGGUGAAACUCAAAGGAAUUGACGGGGGCCCGCACAAGCGGAGGAACAUGUGGUUUAAUUCGAUGAUACGCGAGGAACCUUACCCGGGCUUAAAUUGCAUUUGAAUANUUUGGAAACAGNUUAGCCGNAAGGCAAAUGUGAAGGUGCUGCAUGGUUGUCGUCAGCUCGUGCCGUGAGGUGUCGGCUUAAGUGCCAUAACGAGCGCAACCCUUAUCUUUAGUUACUAACAGGUCAUGCUGAGGACUCUAGAGAGACUGCCGUCGUAAGAUGUGAGGAAGGUGGGGAUGACGUCAAAUCAGCACGGCCCUUACGUCCGGGGCUACACACGUGUUACAAUGGGGGGUACAGAAGGCAGCUACCUGGUGACAGGAUGCUAAUCCCAAAAGCCUCUCUCAGUUCGGAUCGAAGUCUGCAACCCGACUUCGUGAAGCUGGAUUCGCUAGUAAUCGCGCAUCAGCCAUGGCGCGGUGAAUACGUUCCCGGGCCUUGUACACCACNNCCCGUCAAGCCAUGAAAGCCGGGGGUACCUGAAGUACGUAACCGCAAGGAGCUCCUAGG
rnacentral:rRNA from 1 species